CCAAAAAAAAGUUUAGAAUAAAAUCCCACCUUGGGGAGUGGGAGCCAAAGGUUUAAUUCUUCUUUUUUGGA
rnacentral:tRNA from 1 species